AAUAUCCCGUUACUAAACUUGCUUCAUAUGCUGCAGAUUAUGCUGGAAAAAGUUUGGGUGGGAGAACUCGAAGGCAGAUGAAUUGGUUUUGCCAGUCCUAAAAGAGUACAGCAAACAUGAGAGGUUUGAGAAAGAAGAAGAAAUUAGAGAGGAAGCUCGAUUCCAAUGGGAGCUAUCACUAAACAAAUGACUGCAAUAGAAGAAAUGGUUACAAGUGAGUACAGUUAGUCAGACCCUCGUCUUUGUGACAAGAUCUUGAAGAUGGUCAUUUGUGAAGCGUUCUAGUUUGCUAUUAGUUGCAGUUUUAGUUAUUGCUCUCUCAAUAUAUUCUUUUUCUUUCUUUCUUUUUUUUUUUCCAAAGGAUGAUCAGUGUAUAAUAAUUAAGCUUCAUAAUCUCUUUGUGUUUGGAGCCAAGUUGUAUAUAAAUGUACACAUUAUUAAGAUUUCAUUUUGUAUAUGUACAAGUAAAAGAUUUCAUUUUUAA